UACGAAGGGGGCUAGCGUUGCUCGGAAUUACUGGGCGUAAAGGGCGCGUAGGCGGAUAGUUUAGUCAGAGGUGAAAGCCCAGGGCUCAACCUUGGAAUUGCCUUUGAUACUGGCUAUCUUGAGUUCGGGAGAGGUGAGCGGAAUGCCGAGUGUAGAGGUGAAAUUCGUAGAUAUUCGGCGGAACACCAGUGGCGAAGGCGACUCACUGGCCCGAUACUGACGCUGAGGAGCGAAAGCGUGGGGAGCAAACAGG
rnacentral:rRNA from 1 species